GGUGAUAUAGCUCAGUUGGUAGAGUGCUUGUCUUGCAUGCCACAAGACCCUGGGUUCAAUCUCCAGCAUCACAA
rnacentral:tRNA from 1 species